rnacentral:rRNA from 1 species
UACGUAGGGGGCUAGCGUUGUCCGGAAUCAUUGGGCGUAAAGCGCGUGUAGGCGGUCCGGUAAGUCCGCUGUGAAAGUCGGGGGGCUCAACCCUCGAAUGCCGGUGGAUACUGUCGGGCUAGAGUGCGGAAGAGGCGAGUGGAAUUCCUGGUGUAGCGGUGAAAUGCGCAGAUAUCAGGAGGAACACCAAUUGCGAAGGCAGCUCGCUGGGGACGUUACUGACGCUGAGAACGCGAAAAGCGUGGGGGAGCAAACAGG